rnacentral:rRNA from 1 species
CAGCAGCCGCGGGAAUACGAAGGGGGCUAGCGUUGUUCGGAAUUACUGGGCGUAAAGCGCACGUAGGCGGAUAUUUAAGUCAGGGGUGAAAUCCCAGAGCUCAACUCUGGAACUGCCUUUGAUACUGGGUAUCUUGAGUAUGGAAGAGGUGAGUGGAAUUCCGAGUGUAGAGGUGAAAUUCGUAGAUAUUCGGAGGAACACCAGUGGCGAAGGCGGCUCACUGGUCCAUCACUGACGCUGAGGUGCGAAAGCGUGGGGAGCAAACAGGAUUAGAUACCCCCGUAGUCCCUGUCUCUUAUAC